rnacentral:rRNA from 1 species
UACGUAGGCAGCGAGCGUUGUUCGGAGUUACUGGGCGUAAAGGGUGUGUAGGCGGUUGUUUAAGUUUGGUGUGAAAUCUCCCGGCUCAACUGGGAGGGUGCGCCGAAUACUGAAUGACUUGGAGUGCGGGAGAGGUGAGUGGAAUUCCUGGUGUAGCGGUGAAAUGCGCAGAUAUCAGGAGGAACACCAAUGGCGAAGGCAGCUCGCUGGGACGGUACUGACGCUGGAGACGCGAAAGCGUGGGGAGCAAACAGG